rnacentral:snRNA from 1 species
GCACUCACUUCAGCAGCACAUAUGCUAAAAUUGAAACAACAGAGAUCCGCAUGGCCCCUGUGCAAGGACGCCAUGCAGAUCUGUGAAGCAUUCCAUAUUGAG